UUUGGAGAGACUUGGGCCAACAGAGAGAACCAGCCAAACCAAACCACCACACAAACAUCAUGGCCAGGAAAAGACAAAGGUGUGCUCGAGUAUGUAACUUCAUAGAACAUCCUUGAACUGGCUGGUGAGGUGGCCCACAACACUGGCAGGAAGUGCAUAGCUCCAGAGCAUGUAUUAUGGUGAGUGGUACAGAGCAACGACCAGCUCCACCAAUUAUUCAAACCAGGUGGCACAUCAGUGUUUGAGCCACCAGAACCUGAUGACAACUGAUGAUGCCUGAGUCUCAAGAGUCUGGAGUUUCACCACACCUUCAGCCUCAUCCAGCACCUGUGUCCUACUAGCUGGGGGAGCUAAUCAAACAUGCUAUUAAAGCACCUAAAUCGAACCCAU
rnacentral:lncRNA from 1 species